CUUGUCUGGGAAACUCUUUAGCUCUCCUUCAAUUCUGAAUGAUAAUUUUGCUGAGUAGAGUGUCCUUGAUCAUAGGUUUUUUUUUUUUUUCCUUUCAGCACUUUAAAUAUAUCAUGCCACUCCCUUCUGGCCUGCAGUAUUUCUACUGAGAAAUCAGCUGAUAGCCUGAUGUGGUUUUCCUGGUAUGUGACUCAUUGUUUUUCUCUUGCUGCCUUUAGAAUUCUCUAUUUUUAACUUUUGCCAUUUUAAUUAUGAUAUGUCUGGUUGUGGGCCUCUUUGGUUUCAUCUUGUUUGAGACUCUCUGUGAUUCCUGCACCUGGAUAUCUUUUGCCUUCUCAGAUUUGGGAACUUUUCUGCCAUAAUUUCAUCCAAUAUAUUUUCUGCCUCUUUCUCUCUUUUCUUCUCUUUCUAGGACCCCUAUAAUGCAAGUGUUAGUGCACUUGAUGCUACCCUAGAGGUCCCUUAAACUGUUCUUAUGAAAAAUAAUUUAUUCUUUAUUGCUGCUCUGAUUGAGUGAUUUCCACUAUUCUGACUUCCAGGUUGUGAGAACGUUCUUCUGUGUCACCUAACCUGUUGUUAAUUCCUUCUGGUGUAUUUUGUAUUUCAGUCACUGUAUCCUUCAGCUCUGAUUGGAUCUUUUUAAUAUUUUCUAGUUCUUUGAGGUUCUCAUUGUGUUCCUCUACUAUCUUCCCACAUUCAGUGAGCAUUUUUAUUACUAUUGCUUUGAGUCUUUUAUCAGGUAAAUUAUUUAUCUUGCUUUAGAUAGGUUUUUUUUCCCUGAGGUUUUAUCUUGUUAUUUCAUUUGGAACAUGUGUGUUUUUCAUCUAAUUUGUUCGGUCUUUUCUGUUUGUCUCUAUGACAUUAGGCAAACAGUUACCUAUUCCAGAGUCUAAACGUGUGUCCUUGUGUGGGAGCAUCUCUAUGUGGUCUGCCUGUGACCAGUGGCAUUGGUGGGAGAGCUGGAUCUAAAGUGAGCACAGCCCAUGUCUUCUCCCUAGAGUGCAUUCUGAGCAAGUCCAUGUGCUGGGAGCUAUGCUGUUGACCUGAGUCCACAAAUAUGAUCCUGAUAUCCUCCUGCAGUAAUUGAACAUGGAAUUCUAUGUUUGUGAAUUAAGUCAAAGUCGAAGAGGUAGGGGCUCCCCAGGGGGUGGACUCCUGAUGGACAAGGGCAACACUGAGGUAAGUCUUAAAUCAAGAAACCAGAGACAUCCACACAAUCUUAUCUGGAUGUAUCCUGCUAAGCACACAGCAGUCACUUACUGGAGAGCCAGUUAAGUUCAUGAUCUAAUUCUAAUUCAGUUUGGUGAGAUUACAAGGAUGAGGAAAUGGAGUUAUAAUAGGGAAAAAGGUCCAAUGAAGAGAUAAAUUUGGAAGAAAUGGAUGAUGUCUUGGGAAAGAAAUGCACGUUAGGGAGAAAAGCCACCAGACAUUUAGGGGAGGGGGUGGAAGCAUGCCCCACUGUGCCUUCGCAGCACCGACGCACAUUGGCCUUUAUGGGCUCCUCCUCCAUACAAAUAUUAACAUAUUUUACAAUUGUGUUAGGAUAAAAAUGAAUGUAUCCAGGCUGGAUUCACUGUUACAUAGUCAUUACUAAUACAAAUCAUUUUCCCCUGAUUUAAAAAAAAAAUAAAGGUGAAACAUUUUCCUACGUCCCUAAAAGAAUAGUGGGCUGUAGGCACUGUGCCUUCUGUAUCUAAUGGGUACGUCAGCCCUGAGAGGAAGUACACCAGGCACAGAGAUGAGGGGUAUAAGGUAGUGAAUUCACCACAAUGUGAACUUUGGUGAUUUUACUUAUGAGUUGUCCUGGGCCCUUCUCACAUUUCUGUUAGAUCAGAGAUGGAGCCCUGGAAGAAACCUCUGGUCUGAGGUCUACAGGAAGCCCUGGUUUACUCCUACACUGGAAAUCAGGCCUGCCUUCCUGGUUAGGGAAGCUCAGUUUCUCUGCUGACCUACAUGCUACAGAAAACAAUGUGUGUGGACCUCCCUCCCACCCCACCCCGCCAUCUCACCCAUCUAGGUCAUCACAGAGUACCGAACUGAGCUCCCUGUGCUAUACAGCAGGUUCCC